ACUUUUCUCCAAGCAUUUGCACCUCCACGACCUGCACAAGUCAUGGUUUUGUUUGCUUCCUUGCUCUUGGAUGUGAUUCUGAUCUCUGGCCCUUGGACAUCUGGUUAGUUCUGGUCAGUACCCACCCUGGACCAGCCCCAGAGAUUACACAGGAAUAUUUGUGAAUUGUGCAAGAAGAAUACACUAUGUGGAUUAUUUCUAAAAUCAAAUGUUUGAAAUUAAGGUAAAUUUCAUUUUUAUAACAAAGUUCUUAAAGGCACAAAAAAGAAAAUAGACAAAACAGUAAUCCACAGUGAAAAACAUAGAAAGACUCUUAUUUGUUAUUGGAAAGGGUAGAGACUUGAACAGAUUUUAUUUGUAAUUUGUUAUAACUUUAUAAUAAAUUUGUGCAGAAUUAUAUUCUGAGAUAAAUUUUAAUACAUUGCCAUUUCCACAUAUGGCUGGGGAGAACCAAGACAAAGGUAAAAUAGUAAGUUAAUAAAGAUCAGCAGUCAUUGACUUGUAUUGCAAAGAGCCUAAGCAGUCACUGAGUUAGAUGAGGGAACUCCAAGCAAUGGAUUCAUCCAGAGUCAAUUUGAUGACUCUUCUUCAAGAGUCUUCAACUGAUUUAUAUAUUGAGAUUUUCUGUUAGAUUUUUAAAUAAAUCUGAUUUAUACCUUGAGACUUUCUGUUAGUGUCUUAAUCUUACUGCUGCUUUAAAAAGAAACAAAAGUUUUGAAAACCACUGAAUUCAACUGUAGUUAUGCCUACCAUAACUACAGUUAUGAAGAUUACAUGAAGAUUAUACAAGAAGAAUGACUGAUGCAAAUAAAUUAUUUUUCAGUCAAUUAUGAGCCUUCCAGCAAGAUAGCUAGCAUUUCUUGAAGAUGAGGUUUCUGAUUUGUUGGUUUUGGUGUUGCUUACUCUGCAGCACAGUGAAGCCUCCAAAAAUACUUCCCCCAUGUAUAAAUUCAUUUUACUAAUCUUAGCCAAUAUCUUCCUAGAUAGAAGGGCCAUCAAGAUUUCCAACAAGGGUCUUUACCAUUUGAUUUCCCAUCACAGGAUGAGUUCUGAGCAUAGAAAGCAGCCUGAAGCCCCAGGAUUCAGGUCCCCAGAUUACGAAGGACUGGACAGGAUUCACCCCUAUUGGGAGGGACCCCAAUCUGUUAACCUCAUUCCAAGAAGAAAGCAGUUUCAGAAAUAG
rnacentral:lncRNA from 1 species